CAGCAGCCGCGGUAAUACGAAGGGGGCUAGCGCUGUUCGGAAUUACUGGGCGUAAAGCGCACGUAGGCGGAUAUUUAAGUCAGGGGUGAAAUCCCGCAGCUCAACUGCGGAACUGCCUUUGAUACUGGGUAUCUUGAGUAUGGAAGAGGUUAGUGGAAUUGCGAGUGUAGAGGUGAAAUUCGUAGAUAUUCGCAGGAACACCAGUGGCGAAGGCGGCUAACUGGUCCAUAACUGACGCUGAGGUGCGAAAGCGUGGGGAGCAAACAGGAUUAGAUACCCCCGUAGUCUCUGUCUCUUAUAC
rnacentral:rRNA from 1 species